CCUACACCACGGCCUCAGCAAUGCUGGAUCCAAGCUGCAUCUGCAGCUUAUACCACAGCUUACGGCAAUGCUGGAUCCUUAGCCCACUGAGCGAGGCCAGGGAUCGAACCCUCACCCUCCCGCUGUGCCACAACAGGACCUCCCUCAAAUAUUUUUAAAACUGCUUUCAUCUUGUCAUAAACCUGAAAUUUCCCUCUGAUUUUUAUAGCGAAUAAUUGAUUUUUUUCUGUCUUGAAGCAGUUUGUAUCAUUGUAUUGAUUUUACAAGAGUUCUUUCAUACUACAUUUUGUUAUGUAACAUUAAGAAAGUUCAUGGAACAAAAAAUUAUAGUGCACACUCUAAUUCACUUAUCUAAUAAGCCACUCAAUUUCUCCGAAUAAGGCAAAACAUCAAGAUUACCUUACAGUUAAAUCUAGUUUCUAAAGGAGAGAUUAUAAUAAUAAUGCAUUUAACAUUUUAAUAAAAUUUUCAUUUAUAGGAUUUGGUUUUGAAAGCUAUGUAUUUUAAAAUAGAGAACUUUAAGUUACAGUGUGAUGAAAUUAGCUAGGAUACCAUUUCUAAAUUACUGUAUUGCUGCCGUAACAGAAAAUUCAUUUUAAGUAUGCAGUGUCAUCAGAUGUCUCUGCUUACAGAGGUUCGUAAAACUUAUCUCCAUAUGGUACCAGUCUAAAUCACAGAUACGUUUUAAUUGAAUUUUUAGAAAUGAAACUUCUCUUAGGCAGAGAUCAAAGAGUUUGCUUGAAUGGGUUUAGAUAAACAGCACCUCUUAAUAAUAUCUCAAAUGGGAAAGUAUCAUUUACCAAAGAUUAGUACAUUUUCUCUCCCAGAUCACAGAACUUAAAGGAUGUAGCCUUUCUAUUUUGACAUUCUUUUGAAGGUUUAUGUUGUUUAUAUAUAGUAAAUUGUCCGUCUUUUCUUAUUAGACAAAUAGAUUUCUAGAAUUGACUUUAGGAUAAAUGAGGUUAACAAACAUAUUAUCUUAGGGGUAUAGCUCUUGAUGCCUUGAUUCUCUGCUUACUUACUAUUUGCCACAUGCAGUGGUAUUUACAACACUGGACAAACUACAGACUGUUUCGUAGUUUGUCCAGCUAGAACAGCCAUGAUUUUGGGAUCUGCUUCCAUAAAAGCAUGGCACAAGAGAGUGCAGUAACCUCUUCACUCUUCCAGUAGUUGGUCUGCAGUCCAGCAGGUUAGGCUGUGAGUAAGAGGACUUGUUAAUAGUAUCAAGUCAACUCAGGCAAAAUGGAGACUUUGUGUUACGUGUGUCACGCUGUCUCAUCACCAUUACAGCAAUUCAGUGAAGCGUGGUUACUUAUAGAUAACAUAGCAUUAUCAUCAUGACAUGAUGACCAUCAGUCCUUUGUAUAGAUGAGUAAACUGAGCCUUAAGGAGGCCAAGAACUUGUCAUAGAUGGCCUUUAUUAUGUUGAAGUACAUUGCUUUUUUAUCCAGUUUGUUGAGAGUUUUUUUUUUUUAUCUCAAGUGAAUGUUGAGUUUUGUCCAUACUUUUUUUUUGCAUGUAUUGAGAUGUUCAUCUGAUUUUUAUCUUUCAUUCUGCUAAUGGGAUGUACUACACUUAUUGAUAGGCAUAUAUAUCAGACGUCAUACUCAGUGGUGAAAGAUGGAAAGCCUUUAUUCUAAGAUCAGCAACAAGACAAGGGUAUCCACUCCCACCAUUCCUAUUCAAUGUAGUACUGCACGUCCUUACCAGAGCAGUCAGGCAAGAGAAGAAAUAACAGGCAUGUGAAUUGAAAACGAAGAAGUCAAGUUGCCUGUUUGCUGAUGGCAUGGUUUUCUAAGUAGAAAACCCUGAAGACUACUGAAAAACUGUUUGAACUAAUAAGUGAAUUCAGUAGAGUUGCAGGAUACAAACUAAUCUAAUCUAAUAUACAGCAUGGUGACUGUAGUUAACAAUGCUCUAUGUAUGAGAGUGGGUCUUAAAAAUUCUCACCACACAGACUGUACCUGUGAGGUGAUGGAUGUGUUAACUAACCUUCUUGUGAUCAUUUCAUAAUAUGUAUAUGUAUAUAGAUCAUGCUGUACACCUUAAAUUUAUCCAGUGUUAUACAUCAAUUAUAUGUCAGUAAAGGUCUGCCAAGAAAAAGGAGAUAAAGGAAUUUAUAUUUGAAGUCCUAGGGGCUCUUAAGUGGUAGAGCUGGAAUCCAAACCCUGAACUUUAUAAUUCCAGAGUCCAAGCUCUUUACUCCCAAUUUGAACGUACAUAUCCUAGAGCUUUCACCUUGUUGCCCUGUAUGUUGAUUCUGCUUCUCUGAUUAGAACAUAAUAGUUGAUAGUUUUCACAGUUGGUGUGCCUCGCUUUCAAUUCUGAGUUCCACUCUGGAGCUGUUCUUAGAUUAGUGGUCUUCAACCUGGAGUAUAUGGACACCUGGUGUUUUCCUGGGAGCUUUACAGGGAUUUUGCAUGCAGAAGUAGUUUAAAUGCUACUUAGUUGCUCAAUGCACAUAUUUACUUUCCUGAAAGUGGUUGCCUGGGAGCCCUUGUGGUUGGCAGAUUCUCCUUUCCUACCUUCCCCUUCACAAAUCGCUUUUCUUUCACUUCACUGAGUCACUCUUAACUUCGCUGCCUGAAUCUUUCAGUAGUUGAUUGCCUCAGGGAAUAAAAACCUGCUUCUCCCAAUAAAGGGACCAUUUAACAAUUCUUAGCUCCUGAGCAAGAAUUUAUAAAUAGCAAAGCAAAGAGAGCUUUGGUCAGACUCAUACAGGGGAGAGCUUUAUUUUAUUUUGGUAGCAAAUGUAGGACAGAUUUCCAUGCCUUAUUUAUUUCUUUGGGAUUGGACUUGAUUGUUGUGGUGUAGGGGGGUUUGCUGAGAUGGCAGAUUUAGCACAUUUAAGUGCACUUAAAAAUGAAGUCAGGCUUUUGUGACCGAUAGUAAGUUGAUUUGGUUUAUUGAUUUGACAGUGAGGACAUGCUUAGCAGUUAGAUUGUUUGGUAGACAUAUUAAGUAAAUGAGUGAAAUCUACAGUUCUCAGGGUUACAGCAAAACAUCCUGGGUGUGUGCAUAUAUAUGCCCUAGUGAAAUAUUAGUCACUCAUAAAGCAGAAGGAAGUCUUUGCCUGUUGAGACAGCAUGGAUGAACCUGGAGGACAUUAUGCUAAGUGAAAUAAGCCAGGUGACACAGAAAGAAAAAUAUCGUAUAUCAUUUAUAUGUGAAAUCUCAAAAAGUCAGACUCACAGAACCAGGAGCAGAAUGAUGGUUUCCAGGGACUAAGGGGUGGGGGAAAUGAGUUAGAUGUUGGUUAAACUUGCAGUUGUGAGAUGAAUAAGCUUUAGAGAUGAAAUGCAUAGUGUGAUGACUGUUGUUAGUAGUACUGUAUUAUACUUGAAAUUUGCUAAGAGACUAGAUCUUAAAUGUUCUUACCACAAAAAAAGUUAACUAGGUAAGUGAUGUAUGUGUUUUUGAUUGUGGUAAUCAUCUCAUACAGUAUAUAUGUGUAUUAAAUCAUCAUGUUGUACACCCUGAAUAUAUAAUUUUAGUUUGUUAGUUUUACCUCAUUAAAGCUCGAAAAAUAGAAUACAUAUAUAUAAUCUUUGAAAUCAUAUUCUCUGCCUUCAUUAAAUUUAUGAUAAAAACUUAAGAUGUCCGAGUUCCCUUGUGGCACAGUGGGUUAAGGAUCCAGUGUUGUCACUGCAGUGGCUUGGGUUACUGAUGUGGCUUGGGUUCAGUGCCUGGCCCAGAAACU
rnacentral:lncRNA from 1 species